CCUACGGGGGGCAGCAGUGAGGAAUAUUGGUCAAUGGGCGAGAGCCUGAACCAGCCAAGUCGCGUGAGGGAGUACUGCCCUAUGGGUUGUAAACCUCUUUUGUCGGGGAGCAAAAGCCGGACGUGUCCGGCUGUGAGAGUUCCCGUAGAAAAAGCAUCGGCUAACUCCGUGCCAGCCGCCGCGGUAAUACGGAGGAUGCGAGCGUUAUCCGGAUUUUUUGGGUUUAAAGGGUGAUCAGGCGGAUUUUUAAGUCGGCGGUCAAAUCGUGGGGCUCAACCCCAUCCAGCCGUUGAAACUGGGGAUCUAGAGUGUGCGAGAGGUAUGCGGAAUGCGUGGUGUAGCGGUGAAAUGCAGAGAUAUCACGCAGAACCCCGAUUGCGAAGGCAGCAUACCGGUGCACAACUGACGCUCAGGCACGAAAGCGUGGGUAUCGAACAGGAUUAGAUACCCGAGUAGUC
rnacentral:rRNA from 1 species